rnacentral:rRNA from 1 species
AUUGAACGCUGGCGGCGUGCCUAACACAUGCAAGUCGAUCGGUAACAGGUGUAGCAAUACAUGCUGACGAGAGGCGGACGGGUGAGUAACGCUUGGGAAUCUGCCUAUUAGUGGGGGACAACCCGGGGGAAACUCGGGCUAAUACCGCAUACGCUCUACGGAGGAAAGCCGGGGACCGCAAGGCCUGGCGCUAAUAGAUGAGCCCAAGUCGGAUUAGCUAGUUGGUAGGGUAAUGGCCUACCAAGGCGACGAUCCGUAGCUGGUCUGAGAGGACGACCAGCCACACUGGGACUGAGACACGGCCCAGACUCCUACGGGAGGCAGCAGUGGGGAAUAUUGGACAAUGGGGGAAACCCUGAUCCAGCGACGCCGCGUGGGUGAAGAAGGCCUCGGGUUGUAAAGCUCUUUCGCAAGGAAGAAACUUAAUCUCCUAAUACGAGGUGAGGUUGACGGUACC